UACGUAGGGUGCAAGCGUUAAUCGGAAUUACUGGGCGUAAAGCGUGCGCAGGCGGCCAUGCAAGACAGAUGUGAAAUCCCUGGGCUCAACCCAGGAACUGCGUCCGAUACUGGCAGGCUUGAAUUCGGGAGAGGGAUGCGGAAUUCCAGGUGUAGCGGUGAAAUGCGUAGAUAUCUGGAGGAACACCGGUGGCGAAGGCGGCAUCCUGGACCGAUAUUGACGCUGAGGCGCGAAAGCCAGGGGAGCAAACGGG
rnacentral:rRNA from 1 species